CAACAGGGAUUGCCUUAGUAACGGCGAGUGAAGCGGCAACAGCUCAAAUUUGAAAUCUGGCUCUUUCAGAGUCCGAGUUGUAAUUUGCAGAGGGCGCUUUGGCUUUGGCAGCGGUCCAAGUUCCUUGGAACAGGACGUCACAGAGGGUGAGAAUCCCGUACGUGGUCGCUAGCUAUUGCCGUGUAAAGCCCCUUCGACGAGUCGAGUUGUUUGGGAAUGCAGCUCUAAAUGGGAGGUAAAUUUCUUCUAAAGCUAAAUAUUGGCCAGAGACCGAUAGCGCACAAGUAGAGUGAUCGAAAGAUGAAAAGCACUUUGGAAAGAGAGUCAAACAGCACGUGAAAUUGUUGAAAGGGAAGCGCUUGCAGCCAGACUUGCUUGCAGUUGCUCAUCCGGGCUUUUGCCCGGUGCACUCUUCUGCAGGCAGGCCAGCAUCAGUUUGGGCGGUGGGAUAAAGGUCUCUGACACGUUCCUUCCUUCGGGUUGGCCAUAUAGGGGAGACGUCAUACCACCAGCCUGGACUGAGGUCCGCGCAUCUGCUAGGAUGCUGGCGUAAUGGCUGUAAGCGGCCCGUCUUGAAACACGGACCAAGGAGUCUAACAUCUAUGCGAGUGUUUGGGUGUCAAGCCCGAGCGCGUAAUGAAAGUGAACGGAGGUGGGAACCCGCAAGGGCGCACCAUCGACCGAUCCUGAAGUUUACGGAAGGAUUUGAGUAAGAGCAUGGCUGUUGGGACCCGAAAGAUGGUGAACUAUGCUUGAAUAGGGUGAAGCCAGAGGAAACUCUGGUGGAGGCUCGCAGCGGUUCUGACGUGCAAAUCGAUCGUCAAAUUUGGGCAUAGGGGCGAAAGACUAAUCGAACUAUCUAGUAGCUGGUUCCUGCGA
rnacentral:rRNA from 1 species